GGGCCCGCACAAGCGGUGGAGCAUGUGGUUUAAUUCGAUGAUACGCGAGGAACCUUACCAGGGCUUAAAUGUAAGUUGCAUAGAUCAGAGAUGGUCUUUUCUUCGGACUACUUACAAGGUGCUGCAUGGUUGUCGUCAGCUCGUGCCGUGAGGUGUCAGGUUAAGUCCUAUAACGAGCGCAACCCCUGUCGUUAGUUACCAGCAAGUAAUGUUGGGUACUCUAGCGAGACUGCCGGUGCAAACCGUGAGGAAGGUGGGGAUGACGUCAAAUCAUCACGGCCCUUACGUCCUGGCCACACACGUGCUACAAUGGCCGGUACAGACGGCUGCAAACCCGCGAGGGGGAGCCAA
rnacentral:rRNA from 1 species